GACGAACGCUGGCGGCGUGCCUAAUACAUGCAAGUCGAACGCAGUUGCGAACGGGUGAGUAACGCGUAGGUAACUGCCUCAUAGCGGGGGAUAACUAUUGGAAACGAUAGCUAAUACCGCAUACUGUGAGAUGGACCUGCGUUGUAUUAGCUAGUUGGUGAGGUAAAGGGUCACCAAGGCGACGAUACAUAGCCGACCUGAGAGGGUGGACGGCCAACAUGGGAAGGGGAAAAGGCCCAGACUCCCACGGGAGGCAGCAGGAGGGGAAUAUCGGAAAUGGACGGAAGGCCGAACGAGGAACGGCGCGUGGGUGAAGAAGGGUUUCGGGGUGUAAAGCUAUGUUGUUAGAGAAGCGGUAACUAAAGAGAAAGGGACGGCUAACUACGUGCCAGCAGCCGCGGUAAUUC
rnacentral:rRNA from 1 species